rnacentral:rRNA from 1 species
GACGAACGCUGGCGGCGUGCCUAAUACAUGCAAGUCGAGCGGACUUUCCGGAGUGCUUGCACUCCGGAAGGUUAGCGGCGGACGGGUGAGUAACACGUAGGCAACCUGCCCAUAAGACCGGGAUAACAUUCGGAAACGAAUGCUAAUACCGGAUAGACGGACUUCUCGCAUGAGGGGAUCGGGAAAGGCGGAGCAAUCUGCCGCUUAUGGAUGGGCCUGCGGCGCAUUAGCUAGUUGGUGGGGUAACGGCCUACCAAGGCGACGAUGCGUAGCCGACCUGGGGGGGGGUGCGCCCACACGGGAGUGGGUCCCGGCCCCAACCCCCAGGGGGGGGCAGGGGAGGGGAAUCUGCGGAAUGGACCGCAGUCCGGCGGGAGCAGCGCCGGGUGGGGGGGAAGGCCUUGGGUGUCGAAAUGCUUUUUUGCAGGGGAAGACGGGGCGGGGGGUAAACUCCCCUGGCCAUGGGGUACCUUGGAAAGAAACCCCGGGCUAACUCGGUG